GACGAACGCUGGCGGCGUGCCUAAUACAUGCAAGUCGAGCGGGACGUUAAUUGGUGCUUGCACCGAUUAACGUUUAGCGGCGGACGGGUGAGUAACACGUGGGCAACCUGCCCUGUAGAUUGGGAUAACUCCGGGAAACCGGGCUAAUACCGAAUAAUACUUUUUAACUCAUGUUAGAAAGUUGAAAGAUGGUUUACGCUAUCACUACAGGAUGGGCCCGCGGCGCAUUAGCUAGUUGGUGAGGUAACGGCUCACCAAGGCGACGAUGCGUAGCCGACCUGAGAGGGUGAUCGGCCACACUGGGACUGAGACACGGCCCAGACUCCUACGGGUGGCAG
rnacentral:rRNA from 1 species